rnacentral:rRNA from 1 species
GAUGAACGCUAGCUACAGGCUUAACACAUGCAAGUCGAGGGGAAACGAUAUUGGAAGCUUGCUUCCGAUAGGCGUCGACCGGCGCACGGGUGAGUAACGCGUAUCCAACCUGCCCACCACUUGGGGAUAACCUUGCGAAAGUAAGACUAAUACCCAAUGAUAUCCCACGAAGGCAUCCGAAUGGGAUUAAAGAUUUAUCGGUGAUGGAUGGGGAUGCGUCUGAUUAGCUUGUUGGCGGGGUAACGGCCCACCAAGGCAACGAUCAGUAGGGGUUCUGAGAGGAAGGUCCCCCACAUUGGAACUGAGACACGGUCCAAAACUCCUACGGGAGGCAGCAGUGAGGAAUAUUGGUCAAUGGGCGAGAGCCUGAACCAGCCAAGUAGCGUGCAGGACGACGGCCCUAUGGGUUGUAAACUGCUUUUAUAAGGGAAUAAAGUGAGUCUCGUGAGACUUUUUGCAUGUACCUUAUGAAUAAGGACCGGCGUAAUUCCGUAG